UACGAAGGGGGCUAGCGUUGUUCGGAAUUACUGGGCGUAAAGGGCGCGUAGGCGGUGCGAUCAGUCAGGUGUGAAAUCCCGAGGCUUAACCUCGGAACUGCGCCUGAAACUACUUGGCUAGAGUACUGGAGAGGGUAACGGAAUUCACGGUGUAGCAGUGAAAUGCGUAGAUAUCGUGAGGAACACCAGAGGCGAAGGCGGUUACCUGGACAGUUACUGACGCUCAGGCACGAAAGCGUGGGGAGCAAAAGGG
rnacentral:rRNA from 1 species